UACGUAGGGGGCAAGCGUUGUCCGGAAUCAUUGGGCGUAAAGAGCGCGUAGGCGGCCCUGUAAGUCCGCUGUGAAAGUCAAGGGCUCAACCCUUGAAUGCCGGUGGAUACUGGUGGACUAGAGUCCGGAAGAGGCGAGUGGAAUUCCCGGUGUAGCGGUGAAAUGCGCAGAUAUCGGGAGGAACACCAAUGGCGAAGGCAGCUCGCUGGGACGGUACUGACGCUGAGACGCGAAAGCGUGGGGAGCAAACAGG
rnacentral:rRNA from 1 species